ensembl:lncRNA
GCACAACCUGGCAACUUCAGCCACAUGGUUCUGGCUUUAGAGUCAAGAUUAAAAGGAAGGGAUUAUGGACAACUAAGGAAAAUGACUGCGGCCAGGCAUGUGGCAAAGGUGUUCCUGCAAGAAGUCUAGAGAAUCUAUUGUGUGAAGCUGUGCAAAUGAAGGCUGAAUUGUGUUGGAGACUCAAGAUUCUGGAGAUGCCAGAGUCAUAGGAUAGCUGCUAAGUAAAGCUGCCAAUAGGGAGUGAAAAGAGCCCAAAAGAAAGAAGUGUGUUGCAAUCAACAAUGCUGACAGGAAUUGAGGAUUUGAAGAGCAUUUGCAUAUUAGACAUGAAGUCCACUACCAGGUGAACAAGAUGCUGCUGGCAUGAUGAGUCCACUUCCACAGAGUCCCUGCUCUUUGCCUUUGCUGACACAAUCAACUGUGACCCUCAGGAACGAUGGUUAUAUGCACGGUCGUUGAGCCAGAGAUCUAUCCGAUCUUCAGCAACUUGUCUUCUAGGCAGAAAAACUGAAGCCCUGAAUGGUGGCCAUUCUAUUAUGACCCAAAACUGGAGCAACAAGCAAUGUCUCUGAACUUCCAGGACAGUGGUGAAUUGUUUAUAUCCUCCAACAUAUCACUCUACAAUUGUGGUCCAGUAUUAAAAAAAAUCAAUGUGAGGUAAAAGUAGAAAAGCAUAUGCCUGUGAACGUUGCUCUUCGACAUUAUGACCCCUGCUAUAAUCUACUUAUUUUUAUUUUUGAAUAGUUAUCAAGUGAUUGAAGUCUACAUCUUUACAAUGAUAUCAUCUAUUUAUGAUACAAUUCAUAGUUUUAAAUUGGACAGUUCAUUGAACAUUAAGUGAGCUUUCUGAUGAUCCUCAGAUAUUUACAACAAAAAGCACAAU